ACACGGAAAGCUGGCGGAAAGUGGUACACAGAUACGCCUUCUGAAAAUCAGGCGUUUAUGGAGAUUGCAGGGUAGAGGAGAGUGACAGAAGUCGAGCCCCACCCCUCGUGUUGGUCCCUUGACUUAUUUCGAUAAGUAUUUUGCAUUAGCGAGUGACGCAUUAUCGACCGGGAGCUUGUUUAUUGAUAGGAGCUUCAUAAUUCCAGUGUCUUCCUCUUGAAACCUAUUCACCGUGUUAUUUGAUAUCUACUUGUAAUACUCAACUUUUUGGAACGGACGAGGCUUUUAGUAUACCUAGUAACAAACUUAAUAGUAUGCAGGAGUUAUGUCAAUCUAUUAGGUAGGCUGAUAGUUAACACGUUGGACGUCGUGUCACCUAAAAAUGGGUGACGGGACUUUUCGUUAUGGAACUACAAAAAUUAAUUCCGAUUGUCAGACGCUAAUAAAAUUAAAUCUGGAUAGGAUUCGCGAAGAAAUUGAAUGCUACGAGCUAAACAUCGGAUGAAUAAACUGUAAAUAAAAGAAAGUUUCUUCUUCUUAUUCUCCGCAAGGUGACAUUUUUUAAAAAUGGGUCAAACAAGGUGAAGGAACUCAGAAGAAUGGAUUUACCGUGACAUCAAGAAAGCGUUCAAUAAAGUAUAUCUUAAUGAUACUUAAUACCGACAAUAGUGAAUUAAUAGUCGCUUGAAUGGUUAGUCGAUAUCUUGGGAAUCGGCUAUUCAGCUAUUUAGCUUAUAAUGGAUCAAAUGAUUAGUCCCUCCGUAUCGUGGAGCCAAGUAAUUGGCUAAUAACUGAUAAACGAUCGGCAAUCGAGUAUACUAGUCGUAUAGACAAACUUAUCUUAUCUUAAUACAUGCGCAUAAUUAACUAGCAAAUCUACCAACUGGUAGAACUCUGCAUCAGCAUUAUCGGGGAAAACGUUUUCACUUACUACAGAUUUGUUUAUUUGUUUAUUUUGACGAAUGGAUACCAUUUUGUUUAAUGGUAGGUAAUCAUAGUAGAAUGUUUCGAGAAGUUUUAAUUAAUGGUGCAUAUUGCAAGGACAUUUAACUGAGCGAGAAGUAUACGCAAAGUGAUCCAUUAACUGCGAAAUUAAUAAAUUCGGAUUAUUACGUGUAGAUCAUAUUUGAAAGAGGAUAACCAUUAUCCAAACAAAUUUUUACGGGGGGACUUCCUAUAAACUAUUCGAUGGAAGUCAAUGUGUAAUACGGAGCAUUUUCUGAAUAGUGGAAGCGUAGAGAAUAAUUAAUUCUAAAAUUGAUGGACUAAUUAUAAAUUUGUUUUUAAUUGAAAGUGCCUUGAAAUAAUUAGAAAAAGCAUUAGAAAUUGAUGAAACAUUAUUUAAGUAAAGCAUGUUUGAUCAAUUUCAUUAAUUUCCAUGCUUAACGUUAGGUGAAUUACGUCCAUUACGGUUAAUGAAAUUCCAGAAAGCCUUAUCAUUACUCAAAUUACCCAUUCUACUCUUUCUGAACAUUUGCAUCAGUAUUAUAAACAUAAGAGUAUACAUUAAGCUCUUUAAUUUGCAAAGAGAAUUAGACUGGCUUCCUAUGCGUGCAAACGCUUGUCACGACAAUGUUGUCUUUAACCGAAUUAAUGUAAUUAGCUUACGACAGAACAAACAUGGAUAAUAAGAUUUGUUUUUCAACUAUUUCAUUACGCAUUCAUCGAUAAUUAAAUUCAAACGCACGUAAACAACGUCGACGGCUUCAUCUACUAUAGAAUAAUAUACAGUGGAUUAAAUAAGUAUUUGUACAUUCAGUUUUUUAAAAAUAUAAUUGAUCGUAAAGAAGUAGCACGUUAACGAUAUAUAAAUCAUUAAGUGUUCCUUUAUGUGUAGGAAACGAUAUAUACUAAUUGUACUGUUCGAAAAUGGUAGAGAGGAAACAAAAAUUUCAAAGUCAAGGAAGUAUUUGCACACUGAAGAGCAGUAUAAUGACAGUAAAUUUCAAUAUUCUUGUACAACGUGAUAGUACAAUGCCACAGAUGUAAACAGACGUUGUACAUGCUAUCUAUGACAGUUAUACCGUGUUUAGAUUCGAAAGGAAAGUCACGGAUUAUAAAUGUAGUGAAAUACCAGCGCACGAAAGAGAAAGAAUUAUUUCUUUACCUCUAUUUUAAUUAUACUUACAGCAAAGUUGCUGAAAUCUCAAAUUUACUUAAGAUUUAUUUAUAGGAUAGAACACAAUGCAAUACAUUUCUAAGUCGAUACGUUGUUUAUGUAUAUGUAUAAAGAAGCAUUAAAAAGAAGAACAUGUACAUCAUACUAAUGUAUUACUUCUUUAUAGAUAGCUAUCUUCAAAAAACUAUUAAAUACUUUUUUUAGCUACAGUACGAUAGGACACGACAUAUAAAAUACAAUGUGAAAUAAAACGCACAUUGAACAGUUUCUUACCAGGUGAAUACCGCGCGUUGAUUCGCCGUUGCGUUCGCGUCUUCGUUUUAGUUUCAGGAGAAAGUAUCGUGAUAGAUUGCUUCGAAUCGCCGCUCCCUGCGUUUCCGCCCUCUUCUGUUUUCACCAUCAUCUGGCCGUGCUCUUGAUUGCUUUAUUUGCAUUCCACCUUGCACACCUAUGGCACGGUUUGCCAAGUCGUACGCUUGACGAAUGUUUAUGUUCGACGUGACGUUUCUUUCAACCUUCCUUUCUCUUUUAGCUUCGUCCUGAUUGUCUUAUUGGAUCUACAGUUGGAGAAAAAUAACGCGAUCAUGAGUAUGAAGGCAUCUGUUAUGGGCUUUGUUCGUCGAUGUCAUUGUAGUCUGACUGUACCGACAUCCAUAUAGAAGAAUCUGCAGACAAUGAACGUUUUCAGCUUGUGUAUGCUAUAUCGGUUAUCACUAGUUGAUAUUCUUUUUUACUGUCAAAUUGCACUUAAGACGCGCGUGGAAUCUAAUUAAAGUAAGCACGUACGAACGAGACAAGAUUUGCGGGAUUAAUUAAAACGUGUUUAUCUAAUGUUUAUCGCGUCUUUUACAGUGCACCAUUCUUCCUGAAAUUGCACCAUUCUUCCUGAAAUGUGAGAAAACUCAGUUAUCUAUUUUCUAUCGAGCAAUUCGUAGCACUCCGGGAUUACGAGUAUUUCUUGGCGAGGAUUCUAGGAUUUCCAAAGUAUCAGGUCAUCUCAUCGUAUUGUUACUGGUGACGAAAAGUGAGUUUUACACAGUAGUAUUAAAAAUAAACGUCAAUGGUUGUCACUUGAUGUUAAUUAAGGCUGAAGUUAGAAGUUUAAUGAGAUCCUAGGCGAUUUGGAAGUCUCGAGGAGAGUGUGUAAGGAUCCACCACGAAUACAUCUCAUGCUGACUCUUUGUUUAUUCUUUACGGGACAAUGGAUACAAUAUAUGCUUCGAAGCAGUCAACAAGAUAAAAAAAAUGCCUGUCGAUGUUUACAAUAUUUGCUAGUUUCGAGAGUUAAAAUGUAAAUAUAAACAGACGUAAAUUCCUUUAUUAGACGCGCGAGUAUGUUAAAUAGUUAAUUAAUAAUAAUAAUAAUAAUAAUUAAAUAUAUAUUAGAAUUUCAUCUCUCUUUCUCUCUUUUUCUCCCCCCUUUCAGCGUCUCGUCUCCAAUAGCGAUUGAGAAAUCAAUUUUUACCUAACGCAUCCUCCGAACAAUCGAGCCCCAACGAGUCUUCUGCCACCCAACCUAAGCAAAUCUAAUCGAACGGUUUACCCAUCGAACAAUAACGCGUAACAUUUUAACGAAUAGUACAUACAAUACAAAACAAAGCGUCAUCCCUUUUUUUUUCUCUACUAAAAACAAAGAAGAA